AAUCUACUCUCUCCGUCCCAUAUUAAGUGACUUUCUAUUACAUGUAUCUAGACGCUUUUUAGACAUAGAUACAUCCAUAUUUGAGCAAAUUGAAGUCACUUAAUAUGGGACGGAGGGAGUAGAUA
rfam:Brachypodium distachyon strain Bd21 chromosome 3, whole genome shotgun sequence.